ACGUCAGCGUUUUCAUUCCGGAACGCCCGCGUGUAGUUGAGAUUUAGGGACUUGAAUCAGGUUCGCUGUCACCAUCCAAUUGAUAUGGAAACCGGUCCUUCUCCUUUUCUAACGUCUUCUCAGAACACUCCAUGGCACAGAACCACUCGAUAAAAUCAGCUAAGGAAAAAAGAUGUGAAAUGUAAGAUCAUCUGAAGGGGAGCUUUGGUUCAAGUCAAAUGCAUGCCUCAACUUGGCACAGCCAAAGAGAUGCUUGUAUGAUAGUCAAGAAGACUUUUAAGCUAUUUACAACUUUUAACAAUUGAGUAAAGUAUAUUC